rnacentral:rRNA from 5 species
ACCGGCGAUACCCGAAUGGGGAAACCCAGUGUGACUCGUCACACUAUCAUUAACUGAAUCCAUAGGUUAAUGAGGCGAACCGGGGGAACUGAAACAUCUAAGUACCCCGAGGAAAAGAAAUCAACCGAGAUUCCCCCAGUAGCGGCGAGCGAACGGGGAGGAGCCCAGAGCCUGAAUCAGCAUGUGUGUUAGUGGAAGCGUCUGGAAAGGCGCGCGAUACAGGGUGACAGCCCCGUACACAAAAGCGCAUGUGCUGUGAGCUCGAUGAGUAGGGCGGGACACGUGGUAUCCUGUCUGAAUAUGGGGGGACCAUCCUCCAAGGCUAAAUACUCCUGACUGACCGAUAGUGAACCAGUACCGUGAGGGAAAGGCGAAAAGAACCCCGGCGAGGGGAGUGAAAAAGAACCUGAAACCGU